rnacentral:rRNA from 1 species
UGGAAAGCCAGGGGAUCGCAAGACCUUGCGCUUUUGGAGCGGCCGAUGUCUGAUUAGCUAGUUGGUGAGGUAAAGGCUUACCAAGGCUUCGAUCAGUAGCUGGUCUGAGAGGACGACCAGCCACACUGGGACUGAGACACGGCCCAGACUCCUACGGGAGGCAGCAGUGGGGAAUUUUGGACAAUGGGGGAAACCCUGAUCCAGCCAUGCCGCGUGAGUGAAGAAGGCCUUCGGGUUGUAAAGCUCUUUCAGCCGGAACGAAAAGGUUACGGUUAAUACCCGUGACUAAUGACGGUACCGGAAGAAGAAGCACCGGCUAACUACGUGCCAGCAGCCGCGGUAAUACGUAGGGUGCGAGCGUUAAUCGGAAUUACUGGGCGUAAAGCGUGCGCAGGCGUUUGUAAGU